rnacentral:rRNA from 1 species
AUACGUAGGGGGCAAGCGUUGUCCGGAAUUUAUUGGGCGUAAAGCGCGCGCAGGCGGUCCUUUAAGUCUGAUGUGAAAGCCCACGGCUUAACCGUGGAGGGUCAUUGGAAACUGAGGGACUUGAGUACAGAAGAGGAGAGUGGAAUUCCAUGUGUAGCGGUGAAAUGCGUAGAUAUAUGGAGGAACACCAGUGGCGAAGGCGACUCUCUGGUCUGUUACUGACGCUGAGGCGCGAAAG